GGUGGUUCUCGGGUGACACACCUCAGAAUCGAGCUCCCUUCUCCCUGGUUCUGGGUGCAUCACCCAAGAACUGCA
rfam:Myotis davidii contig43376, whole genome shotgun sequence.